rnacentral:rRNA from 1 species
UACGGAGGGUGCAAGCGUUAUUCGGAAUUACUGGGCGUAAAGCGCACGUAGGCGGAUUGGAAAGUUGGAGGUGAAAUCCCCGGGCUCAACCUGGGAAUGGCAAUGGAUACUGGCAAGCUAGAGUGUGUCAGAGGAUGGUGGAAUUUCCGGUGUAGCGGUGAAAUGCGUAGAGAUCGGAAGGAACAUCAGUGGCGAAGGCGGCCAUCUGGGACAACACUGACGCUGAAGCACGAAAGCGUGGGGAGCAAACAGG